GGGAUUACAGGCGUGAGCCACUGCACCCGGCCCUGAACUUAGGUUUUGAUGUCCCAGGGAUGUCCUGGUUGCUGGUCUUUCCCCACACCGGGUGGGGUUACGGUGGGUGGUGACUAGGAGUCAAUGUCAAAACCCUUUUAGCCACAGUUGAGCAAUAGGGGAGGUUUGGAGGGUGUGGUGCCUGGGCUGAGGCCCCCUGGGGCCCGUUACUGAGUUCAGUUUUGUCUGCUUUGGAGUCUCUUGCUGUCAUCUCGACGCGCUGGGCCAGCAUGAUCCUGCGAGGAGUUGUACUUCAAAAUUUAACAAGGAACAAACGCAAAGCUUCAAAAGGGGAAAUACAAGCUUUCCCAGAGGAGUUUCUCCAGGUGCAGCGUGUGGUGGCAGCAACAGCACAGGCAUUUCCUUACUUAACCAGAAGAGACUAAGGGAUCUCCUGGGUCAGGUUCUGUGGAGUUCCAGCAGAAGCCGCGGAUCGUGGAAGUUCAGCGACACCACCGUCCUGCCCCGUGGGAGAGGUGGGCAUUGAGAUGGGUUUGACAAACGCUCUUUCGAAUCCAGAAAAGUCAAGUAGAGAAGGAAAGUAAGGGGCCACUUACUGUGCCUCGAAUCACAAGACCGCGGUGGACCAGCCUGGUUAAGACCUGUGGAUGUCUUCAGCAAGAAACUUGGAGAGGCCCCUAAAGAUAUCGCCAGAGAGAAAACAAAGAAAGCUUCAGUCGCUCCUUCCUAAGCUGUCACGACUACUCUUUUAAAUGGCCCCAUGCUUGGAUUUCUGUCACCACGACUGGGGGAGCCUGGGCGAGUGUGCUUUCCCUCACUGCACCUCCCAUGGGAGCCCAGGCUGCUGCGCCGUCCUCAGACUGUUGGGAUGAUGAGCGGACGGUGAACUCCCACCACCUGCGCCUGUGAAGGGAGCUCCGGUUGAGGGGCUUUGCUGGCUUCGGGUCGGGGGCUGCCGUAGUUCUGUGUUGGGGAGAUGGUGUGGACUGCGGCAGAGCCAAGCCUGAGCCCCACGCCAGGAUGAGUGGAGUGCCCGGAAAGCAUUCUGAUUUCCGGCCUGGCGUGUCUUCCUUCCAUUACACUGAAAGUUUUACCCAACAGCUCGUUUAAGUUUUUUUUCUUUUUGAGGUGGGGUCUCGCUCUGUCGCCCAGGUGAUCCUCCUACCUCAGCCU
rnacentral:lncRNA from 1 species